rnacentral:rRNA from 1 species
AUUGAACGCUGGCGGCAGGCCUAACACAUGCAAGUCGAACGAGUGGCGGACGGGUGAGUAAUGUAUGGGAAACUGCCUGAUGGAGGGGGAUAACUACUGUAAACGGUUGCUAAUACCGCAUACCAUCAGAUGUGCCCAGAUGGGAUUAGCUAGUUGGUGGGGUAAAGGCGCACCAAGGCGACGAUCCGUAACUGGUCUGAGAGGAUGAUGAGCGACACGGGAACUGAGAGACGGACCAGACUCCUACGGUAGGCAGCAGUUGGGAAUAGUGGACAAUGGGGGCAAGCCUUAUCCAGCCGUGCCGCGUGUGUGAAGAAGGCUUUAUGAUUGUAAAGUACGUUAAGUGGUGAGGCGUUACCUGCAGAAGAAGCACCGGCUAACUCCGUGCCAGCAGCCGCGGUAAUAC